UGGGGAAUAUUGGACAAUGGGGGCAACCCUGAUCCAGCCAUGCCGCGUGUGUGAAGAAGGCCUUUUGGUUGUAAAGCACUUUAAGCAGGGAGGAGAGGCUAAUGGUUAAUACCCAUUAGAUUAGACGUUACCUGCAGAAUAAGCACCGGCUAACUCUGUGCCAGCAGCCGCGGUAAUACAGAGGGUGCGAGCGUUAAUCGGAAUUACUGGGCGUAAAGCGAGUGUAGGUGGCUCAUUAGGUCACAUGUGAAAUCCCCGGGCUUAACCUGGGAACUGCAUGUGAUACUGGUGGUGCUAGAAUAUGUGAGAGGGAAGUAGAAUUCCAGGUGUAGCGGUGAAAUGCGUAGAGAUCUGGAGGAAUACCGAUGGCGAAGGCAGCUUCCUGGCAUAAUAUUGACACUGAGAUUCGAAAGCGUGGGUAGCAAAACAGGAUUAGAUACCCUGGUAGUCCACGCCGUAAACGAUGUCUACUAGCCGUUGGGGUCCUCGAGACUUUAGUGGCGCAGUUAACGCGAUAAGUAGACCGCCUGGGGAGUACGGCCGCAAGGUUAAAAACUUAAAGGAAUUGACGGGGUCAUAGCUG
rnacentral:rRNA from 1 species